AAGUGUUCCCGUACUGGUCGAUUAAAAGUGUUUUAAAAUACCUGUACCCAUAUUUAAGCCGUGGGCUUCAAAGGUGUGGAUGUGCUAUACAAAUCUAUUAAAAAGUAUAUAUCAAUCUUAUCCCCAUGUAAGGGAUCAAAUUAAUUUUUAGUAUGGUAAAAAUCGUAGCAAAAUCUUCCAGUGAAAUGAGCAGUAAAUUGGAAUUUGCUGUAUUUUGUACACCUCAUAAUUGAGCGCUGAAUGAAUUAAGAAUAGCCAAAGUUAAUUACUUUUUUAAGCCAUUAGCACCUCAGAUUGUCCAUUAGCGUUCUUAUAAGUCCCCCUAACCAUGUCGGUCUGUUUGUCCGCCAAAAAGUGGACUUGAGGGGGUACUAUUAUAUGGAAAAAAUUCUAAAAUUUGUAGAUAUGUUCAUAUUUUUGUGUAAGUUUUCACCCCCCAAAUACACAUUUUUAGCCAAAUCCUUUGAAAUAUGGUAAAAUCAGGAGAUACUUUUACAUGGGCGCUACUCCGAGACAUCGACCUACAUUGAAAACAUUCUUCUAGCCCUUAUAAUCCAAUAUGACAAAUAGAGACCAAAUCAAAAAUUUAACAGAACAACAUAGCAUGUCAAACUGAAAAACAUUCCGCGUGAUUUAAAUGAGUAAAAAUAGUUUUAUCCACCAUAUUAUUAUAUAGAUGUAUUUCCCAAAUCUACGUUUCCAACCAAUAUUCUCUUGAGAGUUACAAAUUCAAUAGAAUACAAAAUUUUCUUUUCUGACCACACAUUAUAUGUGAAAGAGGACUUGGGGAUACUCCAAUGUGGGGACUUUACUUAAAUAAAUUCCUAUGUGGCAAUUAUCUGUAUGAUGGUUCCCUAACCCCUUAGAGACAAAGAUGCCAAAUAAGGGCCAAAAUAUGAAAAAAGUGGCCAAGACCCCAAAAAUAGCUUAAAUCAUAUGAUGGUUAUAUAAAUAUAAAAUCGGGUUGUACCCUUAUCCGUGAGUUAUGAUCGAUAUCAUGACCUGCAAAAGUGAUUUAAGGUAUCUUGAAUGUUUGGGAAGAAUUCCUGGAAGGAUAGAAAUCCUUUUCUUACUAAAAGUCCCAUUCGCUCUAUUAUUUUGCACCCUUUAAAUUUGGUAUUUUACUGAUUGUACUUCCAAAGAAUUUUGCAUUUUGAGCUCUCAUUGGACGGAUUAUUGUCAUAUGAAAGAAGUAGGUCCACGCUUUGAAAUGAGCUCCAUUAGGCUUUUUCUGUCAUUUUUGGUUGUUUAAAUGUGUUCGCAAAUACAAAUUAAAAAAAAAUGACAAAAGAAGAAUAGCAAAUUGAAAAAAUCUUCAACUUGUUCGCUGAUUUAUUACAGCAAAUGUUUAAAGACCCUUACUAUUUUUUUAAAAUUCGAUUCCACUGAAAAUCUUUUCGAUUUUUUCCCGAUUUGAGAAUUUUUGCAAUGAGAUCUCUUUUUCGUGAUUUUUUAGCGAAUUUGAAAAAGUAAUUAUCUUUUAAUUAAUAAUUAUCUUUCUUUUGGUGUGACCGCGUUAAAUUAUUUCGAUAUCACCUAUUCCGUUUCGCCACCAUAUAAUUCGGUAUUACACUUCCAUGUAACCCGCCAUCAAUUUCAGUUCUCAAGAAAUCAAGUCAAUUAAAUAAAUUGGUUUUAAUAUUCGAAUUCAAAAAUAAAAAAUAAAAAACACUACAAAUGUACAUUAGAAAAAAGCCAGUCAAAAUAGAAAAAAAUCAUGCAAAAUAAAACAUUACUAUUGUACAUUUGAAAAGUCAAAAUGAAAAUGUUAAUAUAUCACAUUUUUACGCGAUUUUUUUGGAUAUUAUCCUUUUCGGAGAGGAGACAACUCCUAAUUUGUGUGAAUUGUUAAAAUCAGUCCAGCGGUUCUUAAGUUAUAAGCGUAGUAACUAACACAACUUACAUUUAUAUAUAUAGAUAUAUAUAUACAAAUGAACUCAAUUUUUUUUCUAGUUCUUCAAUUGAAGCGCCAAGGAUUCUUCCAAUGUUCCCAGCGUAUUACAUUUUCAACAGUUUACUCAUUAUGUUGCUUGCCCUUCACAUUGUUUGGACGUACAUGAUACUUAAGAUUGUAAUAGAUUCUUUACAAAAGGGAUUGAUGUCUGGUGAUAUAAGAUCGAGCGACAGCGAAAUUUCUGAAAGUUCGGAAAGCCAAAAAUCGCUCAAUAAUGGUGACGUUAAACCUGUAGAUAAAAUACAAAAGAGAGCUCUAACCAAAACAGAAUAACCAAAUAAGCAAAAUUAUUUCCUCCGUUUGUAUUUCUUUUGUAUGUUAUGUACAAACUAUGUAUGUUGUAGAAUAUUUAAAAAGGUUUUUAAUGUCAAGAAACCACGUAUAAGUAAAUUUAUUUUGUACUAUAAUAUUGGAAUAAUAAAUGUUUAUUUUAUUGUUGCUUAUAAUUUAAAAA